rnacentral:rRNA from 1 species
UUAGUUAAUGCAAGAUCGACUACGCCGACUGAAGUUCGCGGUAGAAUAAUGAUGUUGACAGUUUUUUACCUAUAUGUCUUGACCAAGUCUCGUGCCAGCAGUCGCGGUAAUACGUGGAAGACUAGUGUUAUUCAUCUUUAUUAGGUUUAAAGGGUACCUAGACGGUAUUUCUAGCCCAAAAUAGGGUACGGAUUUACUAGAGUUUUAUGUGAGGAGGGGAGUACUCAUAGAGUAGAGAUGAAAUUUUGUUAUACUAUGAGGUAACUGGUGGCGGCGAAAGCAACCUUCUAUGUAUAAACUGACGUUGAGGGACGAAGGCUUGGGUAGCAAAUAGGAUUAGAUACCCUAGUAGUCCAAGCAGACAAUUCUGAAUGCCAUAGAUUAGAUUAUUUUUGGUCUAUAAAUGAAAGUGUAAGCAUUCCACCUUAGGAGUAAUGUGGCAACACAGGAACUGAAAUCAUUAGACCGUUUCUGAAACCAGUAGUGAAGUAUGUUAUUUAAAUUGAUGGUCCACAAAAAACCUUACCACAACUUGAAUAUUUUUAAUUAAUACAAGCGUUGCACGGCUGUCUUCAGUUAAUGUCGUGAGAUUUUGGUUAACUCCAUUAAUUAACGUAAACCCUUACUUUA